GAUGAACGCUGGCGGCAUGCCUUACACAUGCAAGUCGAACGGCAGCACGGGUGCUUGCACCUGGUGGCGAGUGGCGAACGGGUGAGUAAUAUAUCGGAACGUACCUUAUUGUGGGGGAUAACGCAGCGAAAGCUGUGCUAAUACCGCAUAAUCCCUAAGGGGGAAAGCGGGGGACCGUAAGGCCUCGCGCAAUUAGAGCGGCCGAUACCUGAUUAGCUAGUUGGUGAGGUAAAGGCUCACCAAGGCAACGAUCAGUAGCUGGUCUGAGAGGACGAUCAGCCACGCUGGGACUGAGACACGGCCCAGACUCCGACGGGAGGCAGCAGUGGGGAAUUUUGGACAAUGGGGGCAACCCUGAUCCAGCAAUGCCGCGUGAGUGAAGAAGGCCUUCGGGUUGUAAAGCUCUUUUGUCAGGGAAGAAACAGCAGCUCUAACACAGUUUGCGAAUGACGGUACCUGAAGAAUAAGCACCGGCUAACUACGUGCCAGCCGCCGCCGUAA
rnacentral:rRNA from 1 species